rnacentral:rRNA from 1 species
GACGAACGCUGGCGGCGUGCUUAACACAUGCAAGUCGAACGAAGUGGCGAACGGGUGAGUAACGCGUAAGCAACCUGCCCUUCAGAGGGGGACAACCGUUGGAAACGACUGCUAAUAACGCAUAAUGAAGGAGGGGAUUGCGUCUAAUUAGCUAGUUGGAGGGGUAACGGGCCACCAAGGCGAUGAUCAGUAACCGGUCUGAGAGGAUGAGCGGCCACAUUGGGACUGAGACACGGCCCAGACUCCUACGGGGGGCAGCAGUGGGGAAUCGUCCGCAAUUGACGAAAGUCUGACGGAGCAACGCCGCGUGAGUGAUGACGGCCUUCGGGGGGUAAAGCUCUGUUAAUCGGGACGCGGUACCUGAAUAGAAAGCCACGGCUAACUACGUGCCAGCCGCCGCGGUAAUAC